rnacentral:rRNA from 1 species
AUUGAACGCUGGCGGCAUGCCUUACACAUGCAAGUCGAACGGUAACAGGUUAAGCUGACGAGUGGCGAACGGGUGAGUAAUGUAUCGGAACGUGCCCAGUCGUGGGGGAUAACUGCUCGAAAGAGCAGCUAAUACCGCAUACGACCUGAGGGUGAAAGCGGGGGAUCGCAAGACCUCGCGCGAUUGGAGCGGCCGAUAUCAGAUUAGGUAGUUGGUGAGGUAAAGGCUCACCAAGCCGACGAUCUGUAGCUGGUCUGAGAGGGCGACCAGCCACACUGGGACUGAGACACGGCCCAGACUCCUACGGGAGGCAGCAGUGGGGAAUUUUGGACAAUGGGCGCAAGCCUGAUCCAGCCAUGCCGCGUGCGGGAAGAAGGCCUUCGGGUUGUAAACCGCUUUUGUCAGGGAAGAAAAGGUUCUGGCUAAUACCUGGGACUCAUGACGGUACCUGAAGAAUAAGCACCGGCUAACUACGUG